rnacentral:rRNA from 1 species
AACGAACGCUGGCGGCGUGGAUUAGGCAUGCAAGUCGAACGGGAUCUUUAGCUUUUUCGAAGAUCUAGUGGCGAAAGGGUGAGUAACACGUGAGAAUCUACCCUAGGGAAGGGGAUAACUUAUCGAAAGGUAAGCUAAUACCGUAUACGUCCUUAUAUUGUAGAGAUAUAAGGAGAAAGGUGGGGACUACUUCGGUAGCCUGCCACCCCUGGAUGAGCUCGCGUCCUAUCAGCUAGUUGGAGGGGUAAUGGCCCACCAAGGCUAAGACGGGUAGCUGGUCUGAGAGGAUGGUCAGCCACACUGGGACUGAGACACUGCCCAGACACCUACGAGUGGCUGCAGUCGAGAAUCUUCCGCAAUGGGGGAAACCCUGACGGAGCGACGCCGCGUGCAGGAUUAAGGCCU